rfam:Clostridiales sp. SM4/1 draft genome.
UUAAAGAUACUCGCGCGUUGAACGCCCACAAAGCAUUGCGCGCCGCACCCACAAGCAUGGGCCGGGGUGAGACUCCCGUGG